AAGACCUUGCGCUUUUGGAGCGGCCGAUGCCUGAUUAGCUUGUUGGUAAGGUAAAAGCUUACCAAGGCUUCGAUCAGUAGCUGGUCUGAGAGGACGGCCAGCCACACUGGGACUGAGACACGGCCCAGACUCCUACGGGAGGCAGCAGUGGGGAAUUUUGGACAAUGGGCGCAAGCCUGAUCCAGCCAUGCCGCGUGAGUGAAGAAGGCCUUCGGGUUGUAAAGCUCUUUCAGCCGGGAAGAAAAGGUUGCGACUAAUAAUCGCAAUCCAUGACGGUACCGAAAGAAGAAGCACCGGCUAACUACGUGCCAGCAGCCGCGGUAAUACGUAGGGUGCGAGCGUUAAUCGGAAUUACUGGGCGUAAAGGGUGCGCAGGCGGUUUUGUAAGUCAGAUGUGAAAUCCCCGGGCUUAACCUGGGAACU
rnacentral:rRNA from 1 species